GGAGGAAGGAGGAGGGUCAAAUCUUCCUUUUAUUAUUUUUAUUGUAGAAGAACAAAUUAAAGUAGUGCCGUUAUGAACCUGGUUUUUAUUGUAGUUUUAUUCUUGCCUGAGUUCUCAGCUGCUGCUGCUAAUAUUCACCAGCCUCCAUCAGUGUUCAUCAGAGAGGGAGAGCAGAGUGUGACCUUCCACUGUCAGCAGGACAAUGAUCAGCAUUACUAUAUGUACUGGUACAGACAAGCAAGCACUGGAGAAAUGGAGUUGGUGACAUAUUCUGCUGGUAAAGAUUUAUCGAGCAUCGAAGCUCCUUUCAACAAGUCCAAGUACACCAUGACCCGUCCAGAGCUGCUGAGAACCUCUCUGCAGAUUCACCCUGCUGAGGCCGGAGACUGUGCUGUGUAUUACUGCGCAUCCAGCCGCACAGUGCUUCAUGUUGCCUCAGCUGCUUAACAACAACCUCAGAGGAUAACAACACAAGGAUUAGGAAGUGGUAGUGAUGAAAAGGUUUAACAUGGAUAGAUAGAUAUAUCAGUGUGACAUGAAGUAUAUUUUGAAGAAUCCAGGCUUAAAACAAAGUCAACCUUUAGAAGCUUGUAGGAUCAUGGAAUAAAACCUUGUUCAGAGCUCAGUCAUGCUUCCUCGAAGCCUCAAAGCUUAUCUGUUCAGAUAGCAACGCAGGUGUCAGCUGUGUACAGUUUUCCCUUUAUGUCAUAGUAUCCUAAAUUGCUCCUCAUGUCUCUCUGUGAUUCUCUCUCCACAUUUGGGUUUUGCUAGGAUCCUACAUUGCCCUCAAAAGGAAGUUACAACGAGCAUCUUAUACUGACCUCUACUGGUUUAUUAUGAAAUUACAAAUGAAUCAUUUUAUGAAACUCCAGACAAAGAUUUAAACAACCAACUAUUGUACUAUUGAUGAGUUAGAAUUCAUCUCUAUAGAUGUUCAAACUUUUUCACGAUAAAUAAACCUAAAAUAUGCAAAGUAUAAUCUGACUUUUAUUGAUACUGUAUGCCAAAACUCUUUAGUGAUACUGUAAGUGUAUGUUCAUUUAAUAUAUUUCCAAUGCUUGAAACUUUACAUCCAGUAUGCAGUAGUGUAUGAUUUUCAAGUGAAGGGAAAAUAAUACUUAAUUUUUAAAUUUUUCUCAACAAAAGCUAAAAAUGGGGCCAUGUAUGUGUAUUAUUCCCCCUUUAUUCUGGUACCCCUUAGUAUGCGGCUUUACGUGUUUUAAUUUCAGUAUAAAUCUAUCAGUUCUGUGAAGCCCUCCAUGGUUUGUUUGAGAACAUUAGUGACCAAUUUUCACUAAUGAGCAUUGUGAUGAACACAGCAGACAGGUCAGGGAGACAGUUUAAAACAGUGUUAUAAAACAACAUCUGAAGCUUUGAAUAUCUAAUUAAUCAGGUAGCCAAGACGCACACCACAGAUCUGGCCUUUGCAUAAGGAUGGCAAGAAUAAAACGUCUUGGUUGAAAGUGGAUGAAGUUAAUCAGGGUAGAAAAUGUUUUAGAGGCUGCAAAAGACUUAGAGCUAGGGGAAGGGGUUUACAUUCCAGUAAAACAAAAUCCCUAAACAUGUUUAGAUCAAUGCAUAUUCUUGAGUUUGAGAUAGACCCAACGUUAACCUGCAACUUUUAGAUUGUAUUUCAAUACUGACAACAUUUGGGUCCUUUUGAUCCUACAACCAUUUCUUUUAAUAACGAAUUAGAAAUCAUAAGCUCAACACCUUUGUACUCAUCAUCAGCAUCAGUGGAUGUUUCUCUCUGCUGACUGAUUGGCUGAAGAGCCGUGACCAGCAGAGAUGUCACUUCCUGCCAGUGGCUCCAAACUAACAAAAACAAACAGCAGUUUCCUCCUCUCUGUUCUGCCUUCUUUUCUUAGCUGUCACAGAAAUAGCAGCAGCCAGCUACAGGCGUCAGUCAGCCCGACCUCCACAGCUGCUCCCACAGAGACACACAAAGAUGGAGGCUGAGAUAUGGAGAGGCUGGCUGGGGGAGGCAGAGAGGGGGGAGAGACAGAGGCACCAGGUUUUUGUGUGAUGCUUUUUCAUCGUGGGGACAGGGGGCCACGGUGAUACAAUCCUAUAGAGCCGCCGUACAAAAACCUCCUCCCAUUAACAUCCAUUAUGUAGACGGCUGAGUGGAUCUCAGAACGCCUCAGAGAGCAGGAAAAUGAAUCAUCUGCAGGUGGGCAGGAUGGUGGCACAGCUAGGGAUUAAAAACUGAUU